CAUUGUUCGAGUUGUACAACAGAUGGCGAUCUCCCUUUUGGCCUUGGGUUGGAGGGGCCAAAAAACAAAAAUUCUUGCACCAGAGCCCUCUCUACUCUAAUGCGUGGUAAUCCCAGAGUUCACAGGAGUCAUUACACAAGGCCUGCAACUGGCAGAGAGUGAGACCGCAGUCUCUCUGGACUCCUGCUUCACCUCAACAGAAGGUGUAAAGGGCCACUGAGGGAGAUCUUUAAUCUCACUGCCCUAUGAAGACACUAUUCUCAGUACUGCUGACUGGACGCAGCUCAGGAGAUACACUGGAACUGGGACAACUUCUCUACCAGUCCCCACCGCCGCAAAGUAAGUAAUCACCGAAGAACCGGCCUGGCAAAUAAUUUUGGAGUGCUGAAACAUGAUAUCUCUGAGAAUGACUGACUGUAGACUUGCCCCAGGAGUAGGGAUUUGG